rnacentral:rRNA from 1 species
UACGAAGGGGGCUAGCGUUGCUCGGAAUCACUGGGCGUAAAGCGCACGUAGGCGGAUCGUUAAGUCAGGGGUGAAAUCCUGGAGCUCAACUCCAGAACUGCCCUUGAUACUGGCGACCUUGAGUUCGGGAGAGGUGAGUGGAACUGCGAGUGUAGAGGUGAAAUUCGUAGAUAUUCGGAAGAACACCAGUGGCGAAGGCGGCUCACUGGCCCGGUACUGACGCUGAGAUACGAAAGCGUGGGGAGCAAACAGG